GACACAAAGAAAGACACACAGAAAGACAGAGUGUACAUUUAUAGAGGGAGAGAAGAGGGCUCAGAACAGAGUCUUCACAAACAUCCAUAACUAUGAAACAUGACACAAAGGAUGAAGAAGUAAAGGAAACUGAGAAUGAAUGCUUAAACAGCCAGAAGGAGAGCUGGUAGAGAGAACAGUGUUGCAAAAACCCAGAGAAGAAGUGUCCAGGAAUAAAAUACGGUCAACAGAGUCAAAGGCAGUAUAGUCAUCUGAGUCCAGUGGCAAGAUACAGAUCAGGACAACUGGCAAUGGCCCUACAUGCAGUGGGAGUCGGGUGAGACUUAAAGGAAGCCAAGGAGGUGGAAGUGAGGAGGAAGAGUAUGCUGCCAUAGAGGACAGCCAGUGAAAGUACAGGGUUUCAACUGCAAAUCUUCAGUGCCAAGAAGCAAUGGGUAGUGUCUAAUGCUCUUCUCCAUCUACUAGUAGUGCCUCUUUAAAAACAACAACAACCAAAAUACAAAUAAACCAAGGUUAAAAUAAAUUAGUCCAAUUCUCAUUUACUCUGACCGUUUUCUUCUCCAGCCCUUCCCUCCUCCUU